rnacentral:lncRNA from 1 species
GGAUCAACAACAUCAACAAAUCCACACAUCCAGCCGUUCUUCAAGAUCAAGCCCAAAAGCCCUUGAAGAUCCAUUCAUCACCGUUAUUCAAGAUCAAACCUUAACGGCCCUUGAAGAAACACUCAUCCUCAAGAUCAAGCCCCAACGGCUCCUUGAAGAUCCGCUCAAAUCCACCUUCAAAGAUCAAGCCCACGACCCUUUGAAGAAACUUCCAACAGUUCAUCCAAGAUCAAGCCUCGACGGCCCUUGGAUCAACGAAACAUCCACAAAUCAACACCUUACGGAGAUCGAAUCAAAGGAUCAAAUUUGAGAGAGAUUGUAACCCAAAAUCAUCAAACACCAAAUAUUAUUUUGUGCACGUUGUUCUUGUCGUUUUCGUUUCAGGAAUUUUCCGUGUUCACAAAUUGGCACGCCCAGUGGGACAAUCUCUACCUCUCAUCUCUUUCUCCGUUCAAGGAAUCCAAAUACACCUCAAAGUCAAUGGCAUCAAGCAAGGGACAAGCCGUUUUCGCAACCACUGAGGGAAGGGUCCUAAGCACUUCUGCCAUAAAUGGACAAUCCAUUGGCGCCAUAACCGCUCCUCAACAUGUCACUUCAAAGUUUGUGUCGUUAAAGGAGCAAGGGGAGCAUCAAAGGCGCGAGUCCGUCAUCAACCUGACCUUGUUGGGGGCACCGAAGCAUGAUGCUGAGGCACACAAGAUGACAUCCCAAAGCAGCCAACGACGUUCUUCAUCAGCAUCCUGAAUGUCUAAAGGAAAGUCACGUCUAUUGGUCGCACAAGUCAUGACCAUCGGCGUUACCUCCAUCGAAGAACAACUGGCUCAAAUGAAUGAAGCAAUCGCAAGGCUAACCCGAACUGUGGAAGAAAAAGACUUGCAAAUCGCUGCACUCGUCAGUCGACUAGAGCCACAGGACGGCGAGAACCUAACCUAGAAGAUGAGCCUACGGUGGAGAGAAUCGAUGUGAAGCCGGAGCCAGACCAAGAAGCGGCACUCAUGAGAUCUCUUUCUAUCCAGCAGUUGCAAGAGAUGAUUGCCAGCACCGUCAAGGCACAGUACGAAGGGAGCUCAAAUACCUCCGGGUUGUACUCAAAGCCUUAUUCAAAGAAGAUUGAUGCCCUAAAGAUGCCGAGGGGAUAUCAACCACCAAAGUUCAUGCAGUUUGAUGGAAAAGGAAACCCAAAGCAGCACGUUGCACAUUUCGUCGAAACUUGCAACAACGCGGGGACGGAGGGAGACUACCUCGCCAAGCAGUUUGUGCGCUCGCUGAAAGGAAACGCCUUUGAGUGGUACACGGACCUAGAGCCUGAGUCCAUCAACAGCUGGGAGCAAUUGGAGCGGGAAUUCCUCAACCGCUUCUACAGCACCCGCCGCACUGUGAGCAUGCUAGAGCUAACGAGCACAAAGCAGUGGAAGGACGAGCCAAUCAUUGACUACAUCAACAGAUGGCGCACUCUAAGCCUCGACUGUAAAGACACGCUCUCGGAAACCUCUUCAAUCGAGAUGUGCAUCCAAGGCAUGCAAUGGGGUUUGCAAUACAUCCUUCAAGGCAUUAAACCACGGACCUUUGAGGAAUUGGCCACCCGCGCCCAUGACAUGGAGUUGAGCAUCGCCCAUCAUGGGAAGAAGGAACUGAUCGCCGACUACAAGAACGACAAAAUUCUUGAGACAAAGGUGAAGAAGGCUACGUGGAAAUCCACCAAGGAAGCAAUGACAGUCAACACAUCUCCCGUCAAAAUCCCUACACGAGGCAAGGCGAUUCAAGCUGAAGCUUUUCGUGAUCAAGAAAUGCGUAGAUGCACUUUGAAGGAGCUUGAGGAGAAAACUUAUCCAUUCCCCGACUUUGAUGUGGUUGCCAUGUUAGAAGACUUGCUAGAAAAGAAUGUGAUCGACUUGCCUGAGUGCAGACGGCCAGAAGAGAUGAAUCGCACCGACAGUCCAAGGUACUGUAAAUUCCACCGCUUUAUCAGUCAUCCGACAGAAAAGUGCUUCGUGCUGAAAGAUCUCAUCAUGAAGCUGGCUCAGAAAGGAAUCAUCGAGCUAGAUCUUGACGAUGUGGUGAAGUCAAACUAUACCACCAUCACUUCUGGCUCUUCGGACUCAAAGUUUUUACCUCAACCUCCGGGGGCAUCCUCCAAGACAAGCAAAGUUGAAUGAUGGACUCAAGUCACUCCUAAGAAAUUGCACAAAAAGCAUACGUCUCCUUCACAAGUUCGCCAAUCGGAAAGAGGGCAAAUCAGCUAUUGUCAAACUUCAAAGCAACGUGAACGUGUUGAAAAUGAUGAAAUUGCGACACAAAGAUCGUCCAUCCCCAUCACAAUGCGCGAUUUCUUGCCCGAAGACUUCUUCAAUCACUCGGUCAAGGCUCCUUGCUAUGAAGAUUGUGAGGAACGCUUCUCCAAAAUUGCUUGACAAAAUUCACAAAUUCUCCUCGCCCACACGAGUCUAAACUGCAUAGCACAAAGCUCCUGGUCUGCACGAGCAUAAAAGGCAACACCAAUGCUCCUUGUUCGCACGAGCCUAAACUGCACGAACCAAUGCUCCUUAUUCGCACGAGCCUAAACUACAUGAACCAAUGCUCCUUGUUCGCACGAGCCUAAACUGCACGAACCAAAUCUCCUUGUCCGCAUGAGCCUAAACUGUAGGACACGAGGCUCCUCGCCUACACGAGCCUAAAUUGCAUGGCACAACACUCCUGGUCCGCAUGAGCAUAAAAGGCAACAUCAACGCUCCUGAUCCGCAUGAGCAUAAAAGGCGAUACCAACGCUCCUGGUCCACACGAGCCUAAAAUGUGACAACCAAAGCUCUUGGUCCCCAUAAGCAUAAAAGGCAACACCAACGCUCCUGAUCUGCAUGAGCAUAAAAGGCGAUACCAACGCUCCUGGUUUGCACGAGCAUAAAAGGCGACACCAAAGCUCAUUGCCUGCAUGAGCUGAAACUGCAAGCAGCACCAAAAACACUCAUUGCUUGCACGAGUUGAAACUGCAAACGUCAUCGAGAUGCUCCUGGCCCGCAAGAGCAUAAACCGCCAAAAGCAAUCCAUCACCCAUUUGAACUACGUUAUGACUUGAUCCCUCAUCAACAGAGGAUACGUAGGCAACUUGAAGCGUCAAAACUUCAAGUACAGUCACACCGUCUAAAAAAAAAUAUAACACUUUGAAGAAAGAAGAGGUCGGACAAAUCAAGAUCAUAGAAGUGCAAGAAAGGAGUUUCUACAAAGCGAAAAUUCAAGUGUGCUUUGAAACGAACUGCGUGCCUCUAUAAAAAUCAGCACUCGACGGGAUUUCAGAGAUCGAAGAGGCAAGCUCAGAAUUCAAAGAGGCCAAUUCAAAAAUCGAAGAGGCAAGCUCAGAAAUCAGAUAGGCAUCUUGCUUUUCCAGACGUGUCAGCACCCGUCACACGUAAACUCAGUUUUGCGGAAAUCACAGGCAAUUUGUCGAAACGCCGAUCCUAGAUAUCGAAGAGGCGCUAGCCUUUUUUAGCCUCGUUAACACCUGUCACAUGCACACUCAGCUUGGCGGAAAUUACGGACAAUUUGUCGAAGAUUUCUGAUAAAGAAGAAAGCACGUGAAGCCAUACUGAUCAAUCACGCAUUGGUUGCCGACACAAGUGAAAGAAUAGUACCUCUACAGGUAUUAAAAGACUUCAUAUAACUAUCCACCUUCACCCUCCAUAGCAAGGCAGACAUACAGAACCUUUCUUCAUCUCUGAGAACCUUUCUUCAUCUCCGAGAAUGCCUUCCCAACGAAGCCUCUCGAGUCACUCAGUGUUUCUUAUUCCUUGGGGUACAUCUGCAAACAAAUGACACCAAAGCAAAAGUAUCUCAUAUCACCAGGGUAGAAAGCAAGAAUAUCUCAUAUCAUGCUUUCUCCCCGUCUUUUCCUUUGUCAUUGUUCUUACCUGCAAAGACAAGGAUAAAUAAAACAAUAUGUCUGAACCUCCACUCAAACUCGGGUAAGGAAUCGACUACCUGGAACCUUUGCCUGAUUGCUUACAUGGUAUUACUCUCGAGUACUCGUCUUCCACUGCUGCUGUACUUCCAAAGAAGUUGCCAGAUCUGCCUGGAGAACAGAUAAGGCAAGUGAAAAUGAUACCUUGCAACAUGUGGAGACAACGUGCAGAAGGAACAAGCAGAGAAGAAUGUGGUCUGCACAGUCAACUCAGCAGAAGGAGUCCGAGUUGAGGAACUCAAGAAGCUGCCACAUCUGCCUGAAGAAACAAACAAAGAAAAAUACAGCAUGCACAGUCAACUCAGCAGAAAGAGUCUGAACUGAGGAACUUGAGAAGAUGCCACAUUCUGCCAGAAGAAUAGAUAAGGCAAGAGAAAAUGAUACAUUGAAGCAUGUGGAGACAAGCAGAACAAAGCACGUGCCGAUUCAUCCGCUACUUCUUCAAAAUCAAAAGUAUCUCAUAUCAUCAGGGUUGCAAUCAUUCUGGACGGUGAAUUCGUUUUGACCCUCAAAUUCUUGGGUCGGCUUACUAGGCGUUGUGAGCUGCACGUGUCGAUUCACCACCCUUGAAUCAAAUCCUUAAAGAUCAAGUCACCAACUGGAAGAAGAGCCCAUCAAUCUUGAAGAUUAUACCGUUGACUAAACUGCUCAGGUGUGAAUUAGAAAGAUUGAACAAAGCAACAAGUCGUCACCUUCACCUCGUGCCUGCUUGCCAUGUGUUCGAGUCAACCUUCAAGAAUCAAGCCUCAACGGCCCUUGAAUAAGCUUCCAGCCAAAUUCAAGAUCAAGCCUCGACGGCCCUUGAGGAAAUCACAAGUCUGAUUCAAGAUCAAGUGUCUACCACCCUUGAAUCAAAACCUAGUUCAAGAAUAAGCUGUGGAAAAUCAACAAUUUGAGGAAUCCAGAAAAUCUUCCAAUCCAGUUCAAGAUUAAAGCUGUGGAAAGUCAACAAAGCGCAAAAAACAAAUACGUGCCGAUUCAUCCACUACCAAAGCCAAAGAUCAUCUACCACAUGAAGCUCCUUGUGGUCCAAUUUCAACCUUCAAGAUCAAGCCUCGACGGCCCUUAAAGAAAUUUCAAACAAAAGUUCAAGAACAAGCCUCAACGGCCCUUGAAGAAAUCUCAAGCCCAAUUCAAGAUCAAGCCUCAACGGCUCUUGAAGAAAUCUCCAGCCCAAUUCAAGAUCAAGCCUCGAUGGCCCUUGAAUCGACAUCUGCAGUAAGGGACUUCAAAACGCAUCUCCUACACGUGACAAACACAUGUAUACGACGCACCUUGAAGUGGGGGCAUUUGUAGACAUCGAAAUUGCAGUGAAAUAAAUGUUCACCAACGCAUUGAAAUUUUGACGUGUCAGGGCAUACAUGGCAUAUGCCACAUGUCAUACAAAUUGUACACAUGGUGUGUGACUCAACAAAAUAAGAAGAAAUACCCUUGGAGGAUUACAUAAGUUUUUCUUCUCAUUUUGGGCAAUGACAAGGCAAGCACAUUUCAAUCCAUUGAAGAUCAAAACAAGGUUUUCUUCUCAUUUUGGGCAAUGACAAAGCAUGCACAUAUCAAGUUUAAAAUGAUAUUAAGUGGAAAAUUAGGCCAUAAAAUUACCACUUCAAGUUUAAAAUUGUAUUAAGCGGGAAAUUAGGCAAUGGUGCUUGGAAAAGAAAAAAAUAUUUUGUGGUGGUGAUUCAUUAUCAAAGCCUAUAAAUAGGCUUCUACAUCAAGGUAUCAAAAAACCAAUUCACAAAUACAUUUCUCUACUCCCAAAAUGGAAGAGAAUACUCCCCACACAUCCAAAAUCCUUGAAGCUUUGAAACUCUAAAGCUUUCAAGCAUCCAACCUCCCAAAUUCAAGCAAAUCCCGAAGGAUCAAGAAAGCCUUCUUCGUUCUUCGUCAAAUCCUCCUUCAAGAUCAAGCCCUAACAGCCCUUGAAGAAAUUUCUCCUUCAAGAUCAAGCCCCAACGGCCCUUGAAGAAAUUCCACUAAUUCAAGAUCAAGCCUCGACGGCCCUUGAAGAAAGUGUUCAACAAAUCCACACAACUGUUCAUCCUAAGAUCAAGCCCCGACGGCCCUUUUGGAUCAACAACAUCACCAAAUCCACAUAACUGUUCAUCCUAAGAUCAAGCCCUUGAAGAAAUUUCUCCUUCAAGAUCAAGCCCCAACAGCCCUUGAAGAACUUCCACUAAUUCAAGAUCAAGCAUCGACGGCCAUUGAAGAAAAUGUUCAACAAAUCCACACAAUUGUUCAUCCUAAGAUCAAGCCCCGACGACCCUUUUGGAUCAACAACAUCACCAAAUCCACAUAACUAUUCAUCCUAAGAUCAAGCCCCAACAGUCCUUUGGAUCAACAACAUCAACAAAUCCACACAAUUGUUCAUCAUAAGAUCAAGAACUGUUCAUCCUAAGAUCAAGCUCCAACGGCCCUUUGGAUCAACAACAUCAACAAAUCCACACAAUUGUUCAUCCUAAGAUCAAGCCCCAACGGCCCUUUGGAUCAAUAACAUCAACAAAUCUACACAACUGUUCAUCCUAAGAUCAAGCCCCGACGACCCUUUUGGAUCAACAACAUCACCAAAUCCACAUAAAUGUUCAUCCUAAGAUCAAGCCCCAACGGCCCUUUGGAUCAACAACAUCAACAAAUCCACACAACUGUUCAUCCUAAGAUCAAGCCCCAACGACCCUUUUUGGAUCAACAAUCAUCCACCAAUUCAAGAUCAAGCCCCAACGGCCCUUGAAGAAAGUGUUCUUCAUUCUUCGUUCAUCGUUCUUCCAAGAUCAAGCCCCGACGGCCCUUGGAUCAACAAUCCACCAAUUCAAGAUCAAGCCCCAGAGGCCCUUGAAGAACUUCCACCAAUUCAAGAUCAAGCCCCGACGGCCCUUGAAGAAAGCACCAUCGUUCAUCAUCCGUUCAUCCAAGAUCAAGCCCCGACGGCCCUUGGAUCAACAACAUCAACAAAUCUACACAUCCAACCGUUCUUCAAGAUCAAGCCCAAAAGCCCUUGAAGAUCUGUUCAUCACCGUUAUUCAAGAUCAAACCUUAACGGCCCUUAAAGAAACACUCAUCCUCAAGAUCAAGCCCCAACGGUUCCUUGAAGAUCCGCUCAAAUCCACCUUCAAAGAUCAAGCCCACGGCCAUUUGAAGAAACUUCCAACAGUUCAUCCAAGAUCAAGCCUCGACGGCCCUUGGAUCAACGAAACAUCCACAAAUCAACACCUUACGGAGAUCGAAUCAGAG